UUGGAGGGCAAGUCUGGUGCCAGCAGCCGCGGUAAUUCCAGCUCCAAUAGCGUAUAUUAAAGUUGUUGCAGUUGAAAAGCUCGUAGUUGAAUUUCGGGGUUCUACCGUUGGUCGGGCUUUGUCUGUACUGGUGUGUAGAAUUUCUACCUUCUGGGGAACCAUCAUGCUAUUAAUUUAGCGUGGUGGGAAACCAGGACCUUUACCUUGAAAAAAUUAGUGUGUUCAAAGCAGGCUUAUGUCUGAAUACAUUAGCGUGGAAUAAUAGAAUAGGACGGUGGUCCUGUUUUGUUGGUUUCUGAAUCACCGUAAUGAUUAAUAGGGAUAGUUGGGGGCAUUAGUAUUCAAUUGUCAGAGGUGAAAUUCUUGGAUUUAUUGAAGACUAACUUCUGCGAAAGCAUUUGCCUAGGAUGUUUUCAUUAAUCAAGAACGAAAGUUAGGGGAUCGAAGACGAUCAGAUACCGUCGUAGUCUUAACCAUAAACUAUGCCGACUAGGGAUCGGACGAUGUUAAUUUUUCUUGACUCGUUCGGCGCCUUACGGGAAAC
rnacentral:rRNA from 1 species